GUGCAGCAGGCGCGAAACCUCCGCAAUACACGAAAGUGUGACGGGGCCAUCCCGAGUGCCGUCCGCUGAGGACGGCUUUUCCCCAGUGUACACAGCUGGGGGAAUAAGGAGAGGGCAAGCCUGGUGUCAGCCGCCGCGGUAAUACCAGCUCUCCGAGUGGUGGGGACGCUUAUUGGGCCUAAAGCAUCCGUAGCCGGCUGGGCAAGUCCUCCGUUAAAUCCAACGAUUCAAUCGUUGGGCUGCGGGGGAUACUGUCCAGCUUGGGGGCGGGAGAGGCCGACGGUAUUCCCGGGGUAGGGGUGAAAUCCUAUAAUCCCGGGAGGACCACCAGUGGCGAAGGCUGUCGGCUAGAACGCGCCCGACGGUGAGGGGAUGAAAGCUGGGGGAGCGAACCGGAUUAGAUA
rnacentral:rRNA from 1 species